AACGAACGCUGGCGGCAGGCUUAACACAUGCAAGUCGAGCGCCCCGCAAGGGGAGCGGCAGACGGGUGAGUAACGCGUGGGAAUCUACCCAUCACUACGGAACAACUCCGGGAAACUGGGGCUAAUACCGUAUACGUCCUUCGGGAGAAAGAUUUAUCGGUGAUGGAUGAGCCCGCGUUGGAUUAGCUAGUUGGUGGGGUAAUGGCCCACCAAGGCGACGAUCCAUAGCUGGUCUGAGAGGAUGAUCAGCCACACUGGGACUGAGACACGGCCCAGACUCCUACGGGAGGCAGCAGUGGGGAAUAUUGGACAAUGGGCGCAAGCCUGAUCCAGCCAUGCCGCGUGAGUGAUGAAGGCCCUAGGGUUGUAAAGCUCUUUCACCGGUGAAGAUAAUGACGGUAACCGGAGAAGAAGCCCCGGCUAACUUCGUGCCAGCAGCCGCGGUAA
rnacentral:rRNA from 1 species